rnacentral:rRNA from 1 species
UAGGGAAUCUUCCACAAUGGACGCAAGUCUGAUGGAGCAACGCCGCGUGAGUGAAGAAGGGUUUCGGCUCGUAAAACUCUGUUGUUAAAGAAGAACAUAUCUGAGAGUAACUGUUCAGGUAUUGACGGUAUUUAACCAGAAAGUCACGGCUAACUACGUGCCAG